CAUUCAGUCCUUGAUCUCGGGGUGACCCCAGCCUGGCCAGGCCUGUGCCCAGUGAGCUCCACUCCCUGCUGCUCCCUGGCACACACUGUCCCUGCAGGAACCCUACAGGUUCUCCUGGCAGCUCCCAAGGCCCUUCAGACAAAUCUUCCCCUGCCAUCAGCCCUGGCACAAGCUGCAGAGCCCCAGGAAGGUUCAGCACAGACCAUUCAGCAUCUGAUAGGCAGUGGUCGCCAACAAGCAAAACCUGACCCAGACCUGAGUACCCCGAAGGCCACAGUGAUGAGACCCUGAUCUCAUCCCACUGAGCCCUGGGAGAACAAGGAACACAAGGAGCCUCUUCAGAAACUGUUCCUUGGGCCUCUUCCUGAGAGUGCCUCUGGAGGGGAGCCAAGCCUCCCUGCCCUGCACUCAGGAGAUGCCCUUUGCUGGUGGAGCUGCUGUGCUGGAGUCCAGCUGUGUCCCAGCAGUGCCCAUGGCCUGUCCCUGCCUGUGGCCACAGCAUGGACACACAGCAGGACAGUGACCAAGCUGCCAGAGCACAGGGCUGUAUAUAGGGAACUUUUUAGGGGGAGUAUCAAUUUCAGCCAUCGGCACCUGGAAAGUUGGAUGGUUUAUUCCAUAGGAAGGAAAGCAUGGAGCACCUGUUCUCCAGGGCAGCCCUUAACAUUCCAAGAUCAGCCUGACAUGUCAGGUGGGCCCUGGGAGGCCAAGCCAGGCAGAUCUGUUCCAUGUUCCCUUGCUUCCAUGACAGAGGUGUCACAAUGGCUCAUUGGUUCCACAGUGUCACAACGGGCUCUGCAUUUUGCCAGGCCCCAAAGUGUCACAGUGGUCUCCAUGGUCCCACGAGGCCACACAGCGUCACCGUGGUCUCCACAGGAAGGACACUACAGAGCUCAGAUGUUUCAGGGGCUGAUGAGCUGCAGCCCCCAGAGGCCAAAGCCAGACAGACCUGUCUGUCCUGCAGGUUGGUCGGGGAACAACCCAUGGAUAUUCAAAAUUUUGAAUGUGAAAUCCCAGUUUCAGCCCUUUGUUCCUGGAGGACAAGACCAGUUCUUUUCCAUAGAAGUGAAAGCACAGAGCCCCUGUGUUUGGAAGGCAGCUGGCAGAACAGGUAUCAGAACCUGAUGAAAGCCAGGCUCUGCUGUGAUCUAGCUGGGCGCCAUGGAAUGCAGAGGGCCGCUGUCAGUCCAUGGAACCCAUGGAAGCAAGGCUCAGAUGUGAAAAAGGCGUGCACCAUGGAACCCAAGAGUCCCUCAUGGAACCAGGGCUGCAGUGUGUCACCGAGGGAGGGACCUCAUGGCAGCAGGAGAGCAUUGUGAUGCUGUGCAACAACAGGGCACCAAGGCUCCACUGUGACUUGACAGAACCCCAUGGAUGUGAAUGGCCCCAAACCAGGCCAAGAGACACUUCCCAGACAAAGCCCAAGGAGGGGAUUUGCUUUAUUCAGCACACCGGGUGUGCAGGGAUAUCUCCUCCUGACAGCGCACACAGGCAGGCAGCAGAUUACAAUAUACAGUUAUACUCUAUGCAUAUUCAUGUUUCUCCUCAGAAAAGGUGUGGUUAUGUAAACGAUUUCUCAGUACUCAUUACAAUCAUUAGCAUACACGAGGCACAGGUGCAGUGCACACUGGUGGUGGCACUGAGGAAGGCUCUGCGACUUCCUCAAGGGUCUCCUGAUGAAGGCUGGACGUCUUCAUCACUGUGCCCUUUUCACCUUUCUCCUCUAGGCAUGCACAGUCUCUUGUUGGCUGUUUCAGCAAUUUCCUCACUGGUUUUAGCAAGCUCUGCCCUUCAUUUCUGCCAGUUUUGUUCCCUAUUUCUUGCCAUGUUUCAUCCUGUGUCUUUAGCUUGUGGCUGAAUUUUUGCAAGCUUCCUUAUUGGGUGCAAUGUCUCUUAUUCUUGCCCAAGUAUGCCUAGGCAAAGUGCUUUUAACCCUUUCACAGCCACAGAAUGGAGAGCCACUCCUGGACACUGGGAGUUCCUGCAGGUGCCUCCACCUUUGCAGCCAGUGAGGCUCCAACCUUGCUGUGAGAGGCCACAGCUUUUACAGUGUUAAACAAACAAGCUGACAUCACUGCUAGUGUGGGAAUAACUGGUUUAAUUCUCCUGUUUGGCUUCUUCCAAAGCCUGGCCAGGGCUCAAGGAGGAACCAAGGGAAGUGACUUUGAUCCCAUAGCCCCAAACAAAGCCAGAUGGGGCCUUGUCCAGUUUCCAAACACAGAAAGGUAAAUCCAUAUUUCAGCAGUGAACACAUACAGAGAUCAUAUUGCUAAUAAUGAUUCAUUAAUGAGCAGAUACAAAUAUAACAUUUGGUUGGAAGGUUUAUCUAAAGGUCAGCUUUGGCUCAGGGCCUGUUGUUGAGGCUUCAGUCAGGCAGGGUCUGACUAAAACAGCCCUAAUUAGUUGUUAUUCUCUAUGUUCUUUAUUACAGCCCACUUUUUCUUGAGACUGUGUCUCUUUUUAGACAAAUCUCAGUACUCCAUUUCCAGCACAAGGUGUCACAACAACUUUAACAUGGAACCAUAACACACCAAGGGCUCACACUGCAAUGAUCACAGUGACUGCCACAAAUGCAUUUCACAGCAGCUUCCAAUUUGGGAGCAAAUCCCACCAGGAAGAAUUUUCUUCUUUCUGCCACUCUUCUCCUGAUCUUUCUAUCAAGGAGAUUGCUGACUGUUGGACCUCAAACCCAGCACUGACAGACAUCCCUGCAACAUUCCUGUCCUACAAUAGCCCAGGUUCCUCCCUGGCCAGCAAGCAGAUAAUCCAAGGCCAUGUGGUUCUGCAGAACCCCAUUUGUGUUUUUUGGAGCUCACAGGAUGUACUAUUGGGUAUUUUCACAGCAUCAAUUUUUACUUCUUCUAAUAAUCAAUUUAGUUUGUUAAUGUAAAUUGGGGGCAGCCGUGCACAGCCAGGGGUUUCCAUUUCCCCAGUGGGCCAUUGUUAAGGGCAUGGAGCACAUCUGGGAGAUGGGUUCUCCAUGGGGACAGGUUCCCAUCUCCUCAUUUUGUCAACUGCUCUUUUAACAACGCCUUCACCCAUUUAACCAAUGCUGCACCUUGUGGAUUGUCUGGAAUAUGAAAAACCCAGCAGUCUUAAUCACUGUAUUUUUCACAAUAACAGACAAAGCAUUCUGCAUCACAGUCUAAACAAAUCCUAUAAAAAAUGCCAAUUUCAUCCCUUCCUCCUUUAUUCAUUACACACAAUUCACAAAGUUUAUCACUGACAUUUGGGUCUUGGCCAGUCCUUUUCUGUAGGGUAUUUAGUGUUUACAGUGAGCAGCCAAAGCUAACAAAUUAUUGUCAGCCUUAUUUCACAUUAUCAAUUUUAAUUAUCCAGAUAUAAAUAUAGAUUAUUAUGUUAUAUUAUAUAUAAUUAUUAUUAUUAUAUCACUUGCACAAACUAACCUGAGCUCAAGAUUGAAACCUUCUUCUGUCACUCCAUGUGGCAGUGUUCCAACAACAGUUUUUUCUUCAGUUAGUGCUGUUUCCAUUGUGUCAUUAACAAAAUUCACCCUUGUCUUCCAAAAACACAAGUUCUUUUCCUUUUUCCAUUUCCAAAUUUUUGGAUGCAUUUUAAGACCUCCAGAGGUUCAGCUUCUUUUAACGAGCUGCCCCACAGCUCACAUCUGCCCUGACCUCAGCCCACUCCAGAGCCAGCCAACUCCAGGGAAGGGCUGCCCAUCUGGGAAUUUCUGAUGGGACCGAUUCUUCACAUUUACAUUUAAAAAUUACAUUUUCUUGUCAUCUGGCCCGACUGUGCCAGUUUUGUUUUACCAGUGGGCAGGGUCAGCACCAAAGACACAGACACCAACUGAAGGAAUCAGUGUCAUUUACUGCACCUCAAAGCAGCAAAGAAUCACAAAAGGAGCAGCUCAGCAAUGCACCCAACCAUCACCACCAAAGAUUGCAGCAGUGAUUAAGAAAGAUCCAGCACCAGUUACCCUCAGACUUCACCACCCCCCAGAUCCACACAGCAGCUGGGGGAAGCUGUCCCAGCCAAGGGCUGCAGAGCCACUCCUGGACACUGGGAAUACCUGCAGGUGCCUCCAGCCACAGCUGAGGCUCCAACCCCACUGGGAGAGGGCCC